rnacentral:tRNA from 1 species
CGCUUCGUAGCUCAGCUGGUAGAGCUUUUGUCUUGUUGAGGCAUGAUGUCUCUGUCGCUGGUUCGAAUCCAGUCGAAGCCC